rnacentral:rRNA from 1 species
AGAGUUUGACCCUCGCUCAGGACGAACGCUGGCGGCGUGCUUAAAACAUGCAAGUCGAACGGAGUUAAGACUUCGGUUUUAACUUAGUGGCGAACGGGUGAGUGACGCGUGAGGAACCUGCCUCUCAGUGGGGGACAACAGUUGGAAACGACUGCUAAUACCGCAUAAUGUCAUGAACUGGCAUCGGUUUAUGACCAAAGAUUUAUUGCUGAGAGAUGCCCUCGCGUCUGAUUAGCUAGUUGGUGGGGUAACGGCCCACCAAGGCGACGAUCAGUAGCCGGACUGAGAGGUUGACCGGCCACAUUGGGACUGAGAUACGGCCCAGACUCCUACGGGAGGCAGCAGUGGGGAAUAUUGGGCAAUGGGCGAAAGCCUGACCCAGCAACGCCGCGUGAAGGAAGAAGGCCUUCGGGUUGUAAACUUCUUUUACCAGGGACGAACACAAUGACGGUACCUGGAGAAAAAGCAACGGCUAACUACGUGCCAGCAGCCGCGGUAAUACGUAGGUUGCAAGCGUUGUCCGGAAUUACUGGGUGUAAAGGGCGUGUAGGCGGAGAUGCAAGUUGGGAGUGAAAUCCAUGGGCUCAACCCAUGAACUGCUUUCAAAACUGCAUCCCUUGAGUAUCGGAGAGGCAAGCGGAAUUCCUAGUGUAGCGGUGAAAUGCGUAGAUAUUAGGAGGAACACCAGUGGCGAAGGCGGCUUGCUGGACGACAACUGACGCUGAGGCGCGAAAGCGUGGGAGCAAACAGG